UAGGCCCUUUGGGGGAGGCAAUUAUUUAUAGCUGAUGUGGAAAGCUGGUAUACCUCGAUUUACUGGGUAAACUGCAUUUAAAAUAGGAAGGUGUUCUUGCCACUCUGUUGGAAGGAAGACACUGAAUUAUCCCUGAAUUUGUGUUAAUGAAAUUAGGUUUUAUGUACAUUUUAACCCAUUCUUUUCAGGGUAUGUUUCCUGGAAGUAGAGGAAAUUUGAAGUUUGAUACCAUAGCUAAGAUUUCCUUUUCUACUUGAGAAUUUUUUUUUCUGUCAGAAGUAAUAGCCUUUAUGUAUUUUGUUUUAUGUUGAAGUCGAAAUGUCACUGUUUACAAUGUCUUCUUACAUGUCAUCUAUAAAAAUAAGACUAACUCCUUGCACCAACCAACUUUCAGUGGCUCUUUGUAAGUGUGUGUGUAGUACGAUGUUGAGAAUGCCUGUGGCAGCAGGUAGGUAAGUUUUAGACCUGCUUCUUCCUUUUUUUGCAGCUUGCUUCUCUGGAUCUAUGGUGACGGUUGCAUCUGUUGUAAUUGGUGCCUUUGAGACCCAGUCUUUUAUGUAACCUAGUCAUGUGUCCAGCUUAAAAUCCUCCUGUCUCAGCUUCUUUAGUGCUGCGAAUAACAGACAUGCGCCAUUAUCCCCAACUAGUCAGCAAAAGUCUUCAGUUUCUUAUAAUUAGAUGGAUCUCUCUGUACCUGUCCUAUAGAGACACUGAGGAGGCCAGUUGCUGCCUGUCUUUCUACGUGUAUAUAGACCAGCACUUUCCAAUGUCAGUGCACCUGAGUACAGUCCUGGAGUUGUUACAGUGUGGAGUCUGCCUGGAGAGGACCCGAGACUCCGGAUUUCUUUGGUUCCAGCUACAGCAGGUUCUGUAGUUUUCAGGACCAUACGUUGGGUCCCCCCAAACCUUUGGCUUUUAGAAAUAUCAUUUAGAUAUGAUUAUGAUUUCAGAGGAGGUCAGUGUCUUUAAAGAUGUUUGGGAAAGCUGCCUAAAUUCCCGGGUGAAAGGGGGUUGAAGAUAGGUCACUCUUGCGUCUGUGAGAGAUUAACUAAUUUGCUCAAUUAUGUUCUGCUUCCUUCCUGCUCGUGCACUCAGUCAAGACAUUUUUCAUCUCAUGGUAUGAGUUUGAGUUCCUCUUUGAAAUUUGAAAAGGCAGAGCCCGUGAGGCUUAGGAGAUGGUCUCCAUUGAAACGUCCAUCACCAACCACCUACAACAGCAUCUUUGUAACAAACUCUAGAUUCAGAUAUCAGAAUCUAAUUUUGAAAGAUACACAUUGCCUUGAUGCAGUAGAUCUGGUCCUGAUGCUGUUUGGCGAGUCCAGGGACUCUAAGCAUUUAGGAGGCCAGAAAGAGCUUUGCUGGCAUAACUCUGGCAUGUUAGAAUCCUGAGAUUUUCCUUCUAGAAGAAUAAUUUCAUUAGAGUUGCUGAUACAGGCUUCUAUAGAAAACCUGGAGAGAACUGUUCUUAGUGUGGACAGGUGUGUGUGUGUGUGUGUGUGUGUGUGUCAGGGUGGUCAGACAUUUCUCAGGAGGAUGCACAGGCUACCGCUGUGUCUGAAAGGAAUCCAAUACUCUCAGUUCUGGAAGGCCCCCGACUAGUGAACUGAACUUGUACUAUUCAGACAGAGAAAAGAGGGAAAGGUAACGCUCAUCAGAGAAUAGUCUUCACCACUCAGGAGUUUUAAUCUGAGCUAUCAUAUAGAGCAAAGCUAGUGGGAGACUAAUAGCAUUCAGUAACCUUGUCUUCAAAAUGAAGACAUAUUAUAUGCAAAUAAAGCAAGUGAGACUCCAAGGUUAAUGUUGAUGUUCCCUCAGUUACGCUGAGCUUAUGACUUAAGGAGGUCUUGAUGCCCAAACUCGGUUUCUAGAGCCAAAAUGCAUUUUAAGGAAAUGUAGCUUUCACUGCAUAGAAACUUUAUAGACUUUACUAAUGCAGCAGAACAUACAAACAGUUGAGAUUAUGAAAAGUAGAAGGGUGUGGGGUGAGGGUUCUUACAGUAAUAUGAAAUUUUCCAUCUGGUGUAGAGACAGGGCUCAGUGGUGUGCUCCUUGUGUACUAUGCACCAUUCAAAUGAAAAUAAAAUGUAUCAGGACUUUGGUUUUAAACGAUUAUAUUUAAUUUAGUCCACUCUAGCUUUCAGGCAUCUUAAAAGAUUUUUGGAGUGGCUCAAAUAGAAUCCUUUAAAAGAAGCUAUUCGAAAAUGAGCUAGAUUUUCCUCUUAGUUCCAUGUCAUUAUUGAGUAUUAUAGGGUAUUGGCAACAAAUAUUGGAUCAAGAAAAAAAGAGUCUUAGACUUGCAAAUGCCACUUUACCACUUAAGGACUUGAGCCUUCUUGCUCUUAUAAACUCGGUACUUUAAUUGACCAGGAAGUGAAAAUAAUAACUUUACGUGGAUCGGGGAUCAAAUUCAGUGGAAUCAGGGAUGUUCUCUGUGGCUUUUGAAAACUGCAUCCUUAUGAAUUUAGAUGGAGCGUGUGUUGAAGCAGGAGGUGGGAUGAUUCAGAUGAUCACUGCCAUUGAUGUAUCUUGUCCCCAACGGUUUUCACUUGCAUCCUAUAGCUGCCGUCUUAGGGUUUUACUGCUGUGAACAGACACCGUGACCAAGGCAACUCUUAGAAGGACAACAUUUAAUUGGGGCUGGCUUACCGGUUCAGAGGUUCAGUCCAUUAUCAUCAAGGCAGGAGCACUGCAGCAUCCAGACAGGCAUGGUGCAGGAGCUGAGAGUUCUACAUCUUCAUCUGAAGGCUGCUAGGAGAAGACUGACUUCCAGACAGCCAGGAUGAGGGUCUUAAAGCCCACACCCAUGGUGACACACUCCAACAGGACCACACCUAUUCCAAGAGGGUCACCCCUCCUAAUUUUGCCACUCUCUGGGUGUAUAAAAACCAUCACAGCUGACCUCUUGCUGCCGAAGCUUUCGUGGCACAUCUUCUGUGCUCCCGAAUCCCAUUCCUCAUCUGUCUACUCUUGUGGCCAGAAUCCCCAGGAUCUCACAUCGGCAGUUGUCUCAGCUUCUGUCUCUUUCCUCUGGCUCAUGCACUGUUCUUGGUCUCUGUGAAGCAAGAGACUCCUUUGAAGCAAGGAGUCUAUGCUGCUGAGUCUAUGGGAUGUCUUGCUUCUGUAGGGGAAAGUGACUGAGUAUAAUGACUUAGAUACAAAGAUCCUUUCCCAUUUCAGUCCUCCUUGGCAGGACGACUGUCCCGCAGCACUAAUGGGCUUCUGGAUUGGCAUUCCCUUCCCUUUUGGUGUACAUAUGUGUUUGUAGCAGUUCUGAUGAGAAAAGAUGUACGACUCGUGUGUCGAGUAAGGUGGCAUUUUCUGCGCCGAUGUGUUUGUGUUUGUUUAUUGGUGGAUAAUUUCAUGUGAGUAUGUUGAACGAACGUGCAGGGUGGCACCGUGUCAUAGCCAAGCCACGAAGCAUGUGUUUAUAUCCAUGAAGUACAUCCCUCUGUCAGAGCUCAAGACAGAAGAGUAAAAGCUAUUGAGAUUUUUGAUAUCAGGAAACCAAAAGUUCUGAUCCCAGAAGUAUCGUUGUUGAGUGUUGUAAUUUCAAUUAUGAAACAAAACUCCCAGUUCUGUGCAACAGUAACAGCCACCACACAGAGUUCUUGGGUGAAGUCAAUGAGAUCUAUUUUGCCAAGAGACUUGGACAAAUCGUGGAUUAUGAGAUUACUUAUGAAAUAUUCCUGUCAAUCAAGAAUUCUCAUUAAUUGCAUUGCUAAUAGCUUAACACACUUGAUAAUAUCCGAAUGAACUGCAGAAGAUUCAGUGAGUCUUUUUUUUUUUUUUUUUUAAAAGAAGUCAAUGGGCAGCCAGUUGUGCUGCACAACUGUAAUUUUCACAUGUGGAAAGCUGGUGAAGGAAGACUGGGAAUUCACAGCCAGCCUGUGUUACAGAGCAAGAACACCUCAAACUCAAAUUUAUUUCGAGUCGAUAAGUUAACUUCAUAUUUCCAUGAUAAUCGAUAAAGUCCAAUGAGAUAAACUGCAUAAAAUUUUAUAAAAAUAUACUCUAAGGAUUUAUUUUACUUUGAAUUACUUGCGUGCAGGUAUGUGCACGAGGGCGUAGGUGCCCAUGGAGGAGAGAGCGUGAACACCCCUGGAAGAGUUAUAGGCGGUUGAGAUCUGUUGGGAGCGGUCGCUAGCCACCAAACACAGCCUCUCUGCAAGCAUCGUUUGCCAUAACCAGUGAGGCGUUGGUCUAAGCCUGUGAAAUUGAAUUUUGCCAUUGGCUUUUAAACUGGGAAAAGCGAUGUAGGAGCUACACCAUUAGAGACACCGGUAGCUCUUUAUGCAUGCACAGGACUGCAGAUUUGACCAGUGUGUGGUUUAAUUAAUCACACUAAUUAAAAAUCAAUGUGCGAUCACUAGACAUCUUUCACGUCCUUUAACAUAAUUGGCUCCCUCUUCAAUUGGCUACUAUGGUCUGUAGGAAGUUAUGGAGAACUGUGAUCCCUUUAGCAUCUUAUAGGGAUGUUUGUGCCCCCACGAUGUCGAGCUUCUACAAUUACCGAAAACACAGACCUAUUUUCAGUUGUAUUGGGAAUGGUGAUAAACGGUGGGUCCAAUGGUGGUUUUCUAUCCCCUUUGGCUUUCGGUGAGGAGGACUGAAUGAAUGCAAAGCUGUGUUUGAAACUUGCUGUCUGUUUUUUUUUUUUUUUUUUUUUGCUAGUUUCCACCCUCAUUGAGAGUUACAACUUACUUGCGCACAUCUGUUUGCAAAUAGUUUCUACAUCUACGAAUUGGAAUUGAUCUCUCUAGCAGUCUAAAGCCAUGUGUACCUGUUUGCUUAACACUUUUCUUUUUUUUUUUUUUUACUAAGAGACCUUGUUACUGCGAAACACAAACACACAAACAUCUCUUGCUUUCUUCUCUCCUUCCUACCUCCCUGGAGGACAGAAAAGAUUCCCCUCCCCUCCCAAGUUCAGGUAUGCUAGGCAUGUUGUAAAUGACAAGGUGCUGCUCUGCCAAAUUAGGAUAGCCUUUCCCUUUAAAUUCUGGGUGUGGCUUUCAGACGCUGGCUUCCAUUUGAGCUUAAGCUAAACCACCUUUCUUUCAGCACAAUGGUUUUGAGCUCACCUGUCUAAGAAAUGUUUAUUUAUUGGUAAUUGCAUUGGGGCAUUUAAUAUUUCGAGUUAAAAAUGUUGUCCUUACUGCACACAUGUAGUACUAAAUAAGGCACUUUAUUUUAAUUUUAUUAUUUAAUUAAAGCCCCUCCCCCCUCUGUGUAGUGUGCAUGUGUGUGUCUUCGUGGGCACAUAUGGGCUAUGGUAUGUGUGUGGGGGUGGGAGGACAGCUUGUGGGCAUUGCUUCUCUCCACCACGUGGUUCCCAGGGAUCGAAUUGGGGGCCUCGGGUAUGGCAAUAAGUGCCCCCACUCCUGAGCAAUCUUGCAAACCCUCUUCCCACAUCAACUCAGUCCACAUCAACAGUGGAUGCUUCAGUCGUAAUCUCAUUCACAUUUUGGGUGUUACGUUACUCUCAGCUGCAAUGUUUGCUUUGUUCCCGUUGACGCCUAAAUUGUAACAGCAAGCGGCAAGCUUCUAGAAAAGAGAGCAGUUUGGGUUCUUUUGGCCAGAAGCCUGGUUCUCUCUAGUGCACAUCUGUUCUCUGAAGCAUUGUGAGAAUGUUCAGGUGAAAACUUACCUGUGUUUUAAUGAGGCAGAUUCUGGUGGCUUGAAAAUUAGUCAGACUGUUGUUAUUAAGGCCCAACUUCAGUGACUGGUAAAGUGACUCUCAGUUCUGUGGAAUUAGCUUAAACUGAGGUGACCAACCAGCAAUUCAAGACCUUAGUAAACAGGCUCCUGCAGUUGAUUUUGAGAACUAAACAAAGAAUGGUGGCCUAUUUCUCCAGGGGUUGCGUGGGAUGGGAAGGUGUGGUUACUUACAGUGAGUAGAAGGUCAAAAAUAGAAUUCCCACGAAUGAAUUUCUGCAGAAUGGAGUGUCGGUGGCAUGCGGACCCUGUCACUUCCUGAUCAGGAUACCCUAUUUAGCACUUAUGAAACAGAGGGGAGGUGGUCCUGUGUAAUUGGGGCGGGCUUUUCCUUUGUUAGAUCCAAGAUAGGGAGUGUGAGGGAAGAUGGGGAACUUGGAUUGACACCUUUGUGAAUUGGAACCAGACGGUAAAUACGUAUCUUAAGGUGAAAUCACAGCUCUUUGUUAGCUCCGUAAUCCUCUGAUGUAUAUUCCAGCACAUGUUGGAUUGUGGGAUAUUGUCAUUAGAGAAAUGAUACCGUGUAUUUUUCCCCUUUCCCUGUGUAUACUAUAUAUAUUUCAAACAAAGUAACAGGUUUCCUAAUGGCACAUUUAUACGUGUUAACUUGUUUGAUCCACCCUGCUCUCACCUUCCUCUAAACUCCCUGUUCUCCCACCUUGUCCUGCUGCACUCUUCUUUCACAUUACAUGUUUCUAUAAUCACACACCUUUCAUAUUGCAUGUUCUAUCACCAAACACCUUGCCUCCCUUUUCAAGAAAAAAAGAACUCAGUUUCAUUUUAUAUGUCUGAUUGCCUCCAUAUAUGUAUACGCGCCAUGCACAUGCUUGGUGCCCGAGGGCCAUAUACCUGGAGCUGGAGUUGCAGGCUGCUGUGAGCUUCCACCUGGAGGCUGGGGGCCAAAGCUGGAUCCUUUUUGUUUUAAUUUUUCUUUUAUUGGCUUUCUAAAAUUUACAUUUUAAAUGUUAUCCCCUUUCCCAGCCUCCUGCAGCCCCCCAUCCCAUCCCCCUCCCCCUGCUUCCAUGAGGAUGCUCCCCUAUCCACACACCAAAUCCUCUUGCCUCCCCACUCUGGCAUUCCCCUAGAUGAGGGCAUCCAACCUUCACAGGACCAAGGGCCUCUCCUCCCAUUGAUGCCCGACAAGGCUACAUAUGCUGCUGGAGCCAUGGGUACCCCCAUGUGUACUCUUUAGUUGGUGGCUUAGUCCCUGGGAGCUCUGGGGGCCUGGUUGGUUGCUAUUGUUGUUCUUCCUAUGAGGUUACAAACCCCUUCAGUGCCUUCAGUUCUUUCUCUAACUCCUCCAUUGGGGGCGCCGUUCUCAGUCCAAUGAUUGGCUAUGAGCAUCGGCCUCUGUAUUUGUCAGGCUCUGACAGAGCCUCUCAGGAGACAACUCUAUCAGGCUCCUGUCAGCGUGCAUCUCUUGGUAUCUGCAAUAGUGUCUGGGGUUAGUGACUGCAUGUGGGAUGGAUCCUUUGUAAGAAUGACAAAUGCUAUUACUUAUUAUUCAAUGGUCUCUAGGAUCCUGACCUCGCUUCCUUAAAGCCUUCUUUUUCUCUCUGGUGCCAGCUGUUUUGGUCUUACCAUGCUGGGUUAUUGGUUUAAAGGUUAGCGUCGUAACUAUCCAUUUCUUCAGCCUUGUGUACUUGGAAUUUGAGUUCCGAGAACAAAUUAGUUAAUUUCGUGUGUGCGGGAGGGAAGUUUACUUCUCAGUUAGUAGCCCAAGACUAAACUGAAUGCUAAAUCAAAUAGUUUGCUCAUACACAGCACAUUUAGGAUGAUAUCUAAAAGUCAAAAGUAAUUUAAAUAACAGUCUUAGAUUUAUAUUUUAAUGUCUGUUUUUCUGUUGGCAUUUUAUAAAAACUGGUCCAAUCACUUUGAAAGUAUAUGUUAAAAUAGAAUACUUUGCACACAUCUUACAUAUUUUGAGAAAUUUUUUUUGGUGUGUAUACUUUUAAGUUGUGUGUGUGUGUGUGUGUGUGUGUGUGUGUGUGUGUGUCUGUGUCUGUGUCUGUGUCUGUGUCUGUGUGAGAGAAAAACAAUAUUUUUUUCUCGGAGUAGAGUGAAAUUGGUAGAAACUAUUAAGGCUAUCUCUGUAAUUUUUUUAAAACUAUACCUAUCAGAAUGGUAGUUUAUCCAAAUUUUUAGUCAGUGGAAAUGACUCAAUGUUUUUGUUGCUGUUUCGUUGUUUGUUUUUGUUCUUUGCUUUUUUGGUAAAGAAUUAUUGUCCAUAGUUCACUGGGACCCCUCCACUUAUUUCUGUCCUCGGGCAAUACUGGUGUCAGGAAAAGAUGAAUGGAAAUUAAGUGACAGAAAUGAUAAGGAGAUAGCCAUCUGUAUAUAAACGCUACUGUUGGCUUACCAAUUUGGUGUCUGACUGUUGCGUUCUGUAGAGCGAGUCCUCAAGGCAGGACCAGAUGAAGCAGUUGUUAUAGCAAUAGAUGGAGCAGCAAGGAUGCAUUUAUCAUUUUAAGUGGUUUGAUUUUGCAGAUGAUAGUGGAAAAAAUAUGGUAAUCCUAUUCAAAGUUGGGGAGAGAUGUUUGAUUUUCUGUUUAUUUGUAAUUCAAGAAAUCAGCAUAAAUAGGCACUGGCCUUUGAUUUCUCUGUUAAAUCAUCCUUAUUUAAAAUCUCCUUGGCACCCGAGAAAGCAGCAGUGCGGGGUACUUUCCAUUCAUGUCACUCCUUGAUCCUAGAACAAGGGACCAUCUAAUUUAUACUGAAUAAUCUGGUGGGAAGAAAACAAAGUAGACAAUCUAAGAUGGUCAGGCUUAUGAUUCUAUAGUGAGUCUAUGUCAGAGGAUAUUUGACCCUUCCUGGAGGGAGAGGCCACUUGUGACAGGCUUCUGUUUAGACUGAUUCUUGAAGAAGAAUAAACUUAAUAACGCUGAGAGUAAAGGGGGAAUAUUUGGAAGAGGCUGUUCUAGAGUGUGGCAUGCAUCUGCCAGAGAGCAUGAUGCUAGGGGUUGGGGGACAGAGGGGAUCUCUUGGUAGGUUCAUAUGAGCAAGGUCACCUAGGGUCUUAUAGUCUGUACUGAAAUUUGAAAGAUUUGUCGGCAGUGAGAUUAAAAAAAUCUGAAACAGAUAGAUUAGAAAUUUACCUGUUGGAGGAUUCUAUUGACUACAUGGUAUUCUAUUGGACGUUUUGUAUUCCCUAAUGGUGAUAAACAUUAAAACAAGGUGGAAAGAGGGGUGGAAAAGAAAGUUAGCAACCAUUAAAAAUGGACAGUUGGGAGAAAAUUCCACUUCCCUUAGCUCUCCAUCUUGGACAACUGGAUAGAACAGGAAACACUUGGGGAAUGCUGUUUUUGGUUAGGGAGGUGGAAGCACAGGACUCCUUUCCUUCCUAAGGGGAGAGCUGAGAUGGGAGACAUAAAUAUUCUGUAAGUGCUUUGGAGCUUAACAUGUUUGUACUGCACCCAGACUUUGUCAGUCCACCUUCAUUUUGGCAAGCGUGCUUGCUGGAGGCUGGGAGGAGCAAGAACAGGGCCCAGGAUGUUUUUCACUAUGUACUCAUGUAUCAGAAAGUAUAAGGCAGCACUUAGAAGUGUUUGCUUUGUUUUAGAUAAGGUCUUUGUGCACAGUACAGGCUGGCAUCAAACCCUCUGUGUAGUUCAGGCUGGUCUCAAACUCCCGCCCAGGUCUCUUGCUCCUAUCUUAGGGUUGCUGGGUCUACAGCUGUUCACCACUAUACCCUGCCAGUUUUUAACCCAUCCAUGCCUCCCCUCCGUCCUCUUGGCUGCUAGGGAUUGAACUCUUGUCCUUGCAAAUGCUGGGCAAAUGCUCUGCCCCUGAACUACCUUCUGAGGCCUCUUACAAGGUCACUGAUCACAUUAAGGAGGGAUCUAUCACAUUUCGAAGGCCCUUCAUGCAGCCAGCACCAUGGACAUUAGGAUUUAACAGUAAUUGGAGAGGGGAUGUAACCAUUCAUUGUGCAGCAUUGCUAUAUAAGCCCAGUUCAGGACCAUUGGUGUCCUCUGAGCAGAGGCCUCUAAGCAGUCCUGAGGACUUCACUCCUUUCUGUAUCCUAAUCUAGGAAGUGUAGUCAUUGUGGUGACAACUGAAACUUUAUAACUAGUUCUCUGAGAAGUAUCCAUCAUCUAUGAGACACUGUUGUUUGCAGGGAGUGAUGGGUAUGGGUAUCUCUCUAAUCUUGCCUUGUAAUGCCUCUACCUACCUCUUUGUAGUCUGGCAUAAAAGAAUGGAGAGUUGAGGCAAGUUGCCUUAUCUGAAAAGAUGUUGAAAAGACUUGUCACGGGCAAUAGUGACUUUGACAGAAAGAAGGGCUAUGUAUUCUUGGGAGAAGACCACUUGGGCUCAGGAAAUUCAUCAUCCUUGACAUUACUAGGAACACUUAGGGGCCAGCUAGGACACAGAUGUCCUCUUCAGGAUCCUGUAGCAGGACUCAGCUAUGAGGUACCCAUGUGAACCAGAGUAUGUGUAUUGGUAUAUAGGUGUGCAUUUUGGAUUAUAAUCUAAAUUGGGGUGAGUGCCCUGUGAGCCAAAUCUACCCUGUCAUUCCCCUGAAAACAACCUUUCUCGUCCUUCAUUUAUGUAUUAACUGUGGCUUCCUUCUGUGAUGGCGGAGUUUAGUAGUUGCAACAGAAACGUUGGGACUUAGGACAAGUAAAAUAUUUACUAUCUGACACUUGAUGGAAAAGACUGCUUUUAAUGGAAAUAUUCUGAAAACUCACUCUGAACAGAACCGAGUGACACUGUCCAAUGACCCCAUGCUCAAAUGUUCCGAUGAGAGCACAUCCGGUCCCCUUAACCAUUCCUGUCUAGCUGAGAAAACAGGUUAGUGACAAUUCUUAGGAAUUGAAGUUCAAGGUCAGAUAUAAAAUGUACCAACUUCUCUUCCCCUCACUCUCUGAAAACCGUUACAGAAUUUAUUGAUUAUGGUGCCUGAGAGACCAGGAUAGCAGCGGGUGAGUGAAUGUCUGCAAGGUUUCCAUCCACCCUACUGUGGUCAUUGCAGUUUUGUCUCUGUGAAUGCUGUAUUCAGGUGCAUUUGGGGGCGUGGUUUUCAUGCGACUGUAGGUCUUUGCAUAUUGGUUUCCUCAGCUUGUCAGUGGUCCUGGUCCUUAGUCCAGGACUACAGGAAAUACCCCCUGUUGCCUCCAGCAGUCCCCACAGCCUCUAGGAUGCUUGCAUGGCUGUUGGUUAGUGUCCCCUUCCCCCAGCAAGGCUGCCUUUCCAAGCAGUUGCUUCUCAGCUGUCUUCUGCUUUGUUCAAUUGUUCUGGGCUGCUUUUCAGUGUGUUCUCCAAGUGUCCUGCUUGACCUCCCUGUGGGCAUCUCCCUUGUCUUGCUUUUGCUUUGCUCUGAGCAGCUCUUUCGUAUUCUCCUGCUGUUCACUCUCUCUUACGUGGUCAGUCCAUUGGCCUGAUUCUCUCUGACUGAGGUUUGGACACUUACAAAGUGACUCUGCAUCACUGCUUGGUUUACAGCCUCCUUGGUGCCUUUUCUUUUUUGGUUACCUGAGAAGCCCCCUUGAAGAAACUCAAUAAUAUGAUCUAAUGAGCACUUUCCCCAAACCCUCACCUUGGCAGGGGAAAUGGCCAUACUUUCUUUUGUUCUGACCUGUACUGGAACCUUCCAUACUCUCCGAAUGCCCCCUCCUUUGUCACAUGGCCACAGUUUGCGUAUGAUUGUCCUCAAGUAGAGAGUCAACAUCAGACAAGACUCAUAUCUGAUUCUUGUGUUUUUCCAGGAGUGUUGUUAACUUCCAUAGCUAGAAAUAGAAGGUUUGAGAAACAGCAGCAGCUGGCCUUGUAAAAUCCAUAGCUCAAAUGUAGGUUUGCAGAUAAAACGUGGGUUAAUGCUCACAGACUGGAAAAUGCUUCCAGAGAUCAGAUCUUCAAUGUUGAGUCUCAAAAGUAGAUGAUUCUUAAAUAUAUAUAUAGGCCGAAAUUGUAAGACCCGAUGAGGAAAUGCAGUGCACUUAGGUAAUGACUACUGCUUUACAAUGAAACUACCCCAAAGCCUCAUUGGCUCAAUUUUUUUUAAUGAGAGUUCAUUAAAAAUCUUAAUAAGAUAUAGUGAACAAUUUUCAUAAAAGCAUCUAGAGUUAAGCAGCAAGGUUAUGAUUUAGAGGCAGCGAAUUCAAUCGGAAAUAUUAAUCUAGAGGAGACAUGUUAUAAACCAAAAUAUAUCAUGAUAUGUAUUUAAAGGGCACCAUACUAUUUUCAGUUUGUGAUAGUUCAACCCUGGCGUUAAAUUUUCUGAGCAGAUAACGUAAUAUUUACAAGCGUUUAUAAGCAGUUCUGUACUCGCCACAGUCAAAGGGAAAAAAGUUGAUGCAUGAGUCCCACAGAGGCCGUAAACUUGGUUCUGGUUUUGUGAGGCCUGUUGUAAUUCUCCAGUCCUCAGUUUGCCAGGAGUGAGAUGUUGCUUUUGCUAGAAGCCAGUGCUGUGAAUGUCUCCAGGAAGCACUUAUAUUAUGGAAGCCUUGGAGGCACUUUGAUAUCAGCAAGCUACUUUAUGGGAGCAAUAGGAAAGUGUGCCCUGUUGAAAUGGUGUCCAUAAACCCAAUGUUUAUAUUGCAGUCAUGCAGCUGGUUCAUAGGUUUUGCUUGGUACUCUUGGUUUUAUGUGAUAAGUUGAGAAAGAGUUCUCGUCACCAGGGAAUUCAUGUCUGAACUUAAAAAUGCCGUGGGCUUUCUAAUCAUAGUGACCCGUUUGAGUUAUUGUCAGCAAAACAUGCCUUCCAGCACAGGUUCAGGAUACCUGACCGUCCCUCCGUUAGGUACUCGGGUUUUGAUCUUGAAGUCAUACUCCGUCUCUUCAGCUUAGUUCAGGAUGAGUGCAGUACACAGCCGUGGACUUGGGUUGCUUCCUCUCCGAGAUGUUGGUUCCUCUUUUUGGUAGUCCAGCGGAUCUAUAUGUAGUCAUUUCUAGUUUUUAGGUUUUGUCUGAAUCAGGAUUCGAAUGAAUGAUAAUAACUGAGAGUGAGCAUGAUGUAUUAAAAAAAUUCAUUAACAAGAAAAAAGUCAUAUGUUGUAAUUUUCCAGAGAUGAAGAAGAUGAGAAAAAUAAAACAUGAGGACAAAAUUGAUGGCUUUUGUCUCCUGGCCUCUGAUAUUUGAGGGUUAUGAGUUUUCCAAGACCAAGUAGGGUCAGACUUUGAGUAUCAUGGAAAGGACAAGUUUAGACCCACAAAAGUUUUAGAGGUUGAUGAAGCUUUGUGGAAAUACAAUCUAUAAUAUUGAAAAGAUCCGUAAAAAUAUUUCUAUGCAAACUGGAGUUCUAUUAUGUCUUACUUCUUACUGUUGUACAGAAAAUAUCAUUUUAAAAUUCUUUUCCUAUUUUACUUUCAUUAGGUCUCUUAACCAAAUAAGGCAAUCUUCAUUCCUCUUUAUGGUUAAGGAAACGAGAUUCUGCGAGGUUAUACAAUUAUUCCUAACAUCACUGAACCAAGAGUGAACCCAGGGCUGUGUGUCUGUGGAGCUAAGGCUCUUGACAUCACCCUAUGACAGCAUGGGAUGGAGGAGCUUUUAGGAUAUUUGGGCUGUAAUACUCUUUUCUCCCAUGUCGUAACUAUGUGGGCUCGUGCAUUUAUUCCAGCAAGUAUUCAUUUAGUAUAGCCCAGCUUGUUUCUGCAGGGUACGCAGAAAUGAAUCUGAGUGAAUUCUUGCUUUCAAAGCAGCUUUUCUGUGUCACAGAUCCCUUUGGCCAUCUGGUGAAAUCUGAGCGUCUACCCUAGGAAAAAUGUUUUAAAUGCACGAAACAAAACACAUAGAAAUAAAUAUAUUGGAAGACAUUUAUCAAAUGGUUGAACUCAAAUACCCUCUAUAGUACUCUGUCUUCAUUAAGUUAUGUAAAAGCAGAAUAAAGUGCCAGGUCCAUUAGCAGGUAUUGUAUUGAAGGAUGCGUAAGGAUAAGUAAUGUUUUUGUUAGCACUACAGCACUUGUCUUGGGAUGGAAGCCUCUGUGUUCUUCUAGCUGGUGGAGGAGUCUUUGCUCUGGUUUUGUUUGUUGUGGUUUGCAGUUGAAGACAAUGUUCACUAACAAAAAGAAGAUAUUCCUUUCCUUCCUGUGCAAGUGCCUUGGAUCUUGAAUUCCUUGAAUUUUAGUGGAAACCAGGCUGAGGACCCCUGGGAAAACUGAGAAUGCAUUUAUUAAAAGGCAAUGCAAAAACAUUGGGUUAUCUUGAACAUGCCAGUAGAUUUCUUGGGCUCUCACUGCUGUAACUUUGAAAAGUUUGAUUGAGGUCAGUAGACAUCUGAGAAAGGUACAGAAAGGUCAGGAGCUACCAUCAAUUUUAUAGAACCUCAAAGCCUAGAGUCACUUGGUCUAAGAUUACCCAGGCUGGAUGCUGGGAUUUUGUUUGUUUUUUUGUUGAGUUUGAGUAGCUUGGUAUUAAUGCAAGAGUCUUUGCCUUUGAAUUUGUUACAGGGGUCAGAAAGUAUCACUGUGAGCCUUGGGUUUUGUGAAUGUUAAAAAAAAAAAACCAAAAAACAAAAAACAAAAACAAAAAAAAGGUUGUGAAAAUAAAAAGUUUGUCCAAGAAACUGUUUGAAAGCCUGGUGUUGGCUUGAGUGGAGUUUCCAGUAAAUAUCCCUGAUGGGUUUGUGGAGAAAAUGUUGGAAGCUGCUGAUUUGGUUAUUGGUUAUUUCUUCUUCACCUUAAUUGUUUGUGUUAAAUGGUCCUGAUGUUUAGAGUGCAUUAAAUGGGUUAUCGUUUCCCCCUGGUUUUGAAUGAAAUACAAGAACAAAAUGAAUAUAGAUGGAAAACCUGAAAAGCCGCACGUGACUGAUUAUUACUGAGUGUGGAAGGAGUUCCGAAGAGGAAAUGACGCCUUGUCUCCAGCUGACGACAGAGAGACUAUCUCACUCCACUGCAGACCUAGAAUCAGUAGAGAUGCUGCUUUGGGAUGAGGAUAAUAGAGUGAAACCUUUGUGCCUGCUAGGGAUGUAGCUCAGGGGUAGAGCACGGUGAUAGCUUGUCCAGUGCCUAGGCUUAAUCCUUAGCGUUACAAAACCAAGCCAAAGAAAUCAUACCCAGUGACUGUCACACACAAAGGAAACAGAAGGGUUCACAGUUUUAUUAAAACUGAAUCCCAGAAGAAAGUCUCUUCACCGACGCUUGAAUUCCCACCUUCCUCUGUGUUCUGUCAUCCUUUAUCCUCAAACAGACCUCUGUCUGCCUCUCUUCCUUGUCUGUGUCUCAUUUCUUUUCCUUCUGUUCAACUCUUUCUCCCUCCUCUAGUUUCUACUCUAUUCUUUCUUCCCGUCCUCACUCUUCUACCACCCACAGCUGAUGCUGAGGUUAGUUUCUGGGUAGGAGUGGGAUCUAGAGGAGCCACUGUUGAUGGCACUUUGAGGCAUGUUUUUGUACAUUAUCUCAGUCUGCUUAAAUGGUGAAGAGAUGCCCACCUUAGAUGGUCCAGGACAUUUCAUGAUCGGAGCGACACUUGUGCUAAGACCUGGAAAGGGUUAAGGCAGCCAUAGCCAUCUUGGGAAGAAGAUUUAGGAAAUUGCAAGUUAUUCAAGAUCACCAGAGAGAAGGGUAUGUUUUAGGCAGUAGUCAGUGGUAGAAAUAUACAGAAGUAGGCAGAAAUCAGUUUGUGCCAAGAGCCCAGGAGCUAAACUGAGAGUUACAAGGAACUCUUAAAGGAGAGCUAGAUGAAGGGGCUUAAGCUUUUGGCUUUACACUUAUAUAAGUGUAAGACUGCUUUGCCUGCCUGUGUGUAUGCGUGGCAGCCAUGUGCUCGCAUGCAGUGCCCGAGGAGGCCAGAAAAGGCUAUCACAUGUGAGCUCUGCCAUGUAGGUGCUGGGAAUUGUACCCGGGUCUUUUGCAAGAAUAGCUUGCACUCUAAACCUCUUUAUGCAAACAUGGUAAGGGAGUAGUGUAGAGAGGGCAGAUAGAUAGCUCAUUUGGGGAUGUGUCCUCCUUGAAACUGUUGACACAAAAGCCAUAGUCGAGUUACAAACAUACGGGCAGGCAGGCAACGCUGUGUGCCUGAUGUUUUCACUGCAUUUAAGCAGAGUCUGUGACAGCACCGUGUUGCCUUGCUUCCGAUGUCCACUGCCUUUCUUGCAAUGCCUUGAGACGGUUCUGUACUUGGAGGAGACAGGAGAAUAGAGAAGAGGUAAUACUCACUAGCCUUACAGAAUUGGAGUAAAACUUGACAUUCACAGCGUCCCAGCGGGGCAGAGGCUGAUAGGAUGGUUGAGUCCACUGGGAUGUUUGCCGCAAUGUGGAGUUUCUUACCUUUGCCCUGUGUGCCCACCCCACUGAAGCACUUGCAGCUGCUCAGCAGUGAAAUUCUUCAUCGCGGUGCGAGCCAGCUUACCAGACAGAUGUCCUUUGUGUUUGCUGAUAUUACUUGUGGGAGUAACAGUCAAGGGAUAAUUUGUGUAUCGUGUACUCUGAGAGACUCAUCUUAGACGUCUAAAUCGAACAAAUGAAGAGAGGCCCUUUAAAACACUGGAAACCUUCAGAGAACGAGAGGCAGGAAACGAACUGCACAGAACACUUGAAAAAAAAAAUCUUCCAAGUACCCCUGCUAAUUAUCUAGAGGACAUUCACCCAGGAGAUUAACUGUCAACAUGUCAGCCAUUUUGCUGGGUUUAAAAUCAUAAAUUACCUUCUCAGUUUUUAUCUUAUCCUAAAUUGUCUAUUAUUAAGAGGGAGAAAACAAUACAAAACUAAACAAACAGGAAAAGAACAACAGAAAGAGUACCUAAAAAAUUAAGACACUGCUACCUUCAUAUUCCAUAUUUACUUCCGUUUUUCUUCCUUGCUCUGUGUGUGUGCGUGUGUGUGUGUGUGUGUGUGUGUGUGUGUGUGCGCGCGCGUGCGCGUGUGUGCGCGCACACGCCUAUACCUGUGCGGCACAUGCAUUGUUUGUGCACUUUUGUGAUAAUGUGCACUCCUCCGUGCACAUGAGUAUGGAGACCAGAGGUGGACUUCUUGCUCUGUCCCUCACCAGACGGAACCUGGAGAGCUUGCUUUUAGCAUCUGACUGGAGCCAAUCCAAGAUGCUCGCUGCCUCCCUUGGUACCUAGUUUAUAGGCAUGUGCUGCUAUGUCUGGCCUCUAGAUGAGCGCUAUGGAUCCAAACUCAAGUACUUGUGUGUACGGCAAACACAUUAUGCCCCGAGCCAUCUCCCCAGGCCCUCCAUCUUUCUUAAUUAAAAAAAAAAAGUUGUUUUUGUAGGAUUUGGAAAAGCGGGCUCAUAGUCCUGUCUGCAUGGAGCCAGUUAGCAGGAGCUAAAGUAGCUGUCCCUUCAGUGCCAGAUUCAUAGAUGGAGGCAACUUAAAGGACACAGAAAUUAGUUGGCAUUGCCCAAGGAUGCACACAGUUAUUGUUGAGUGCGAUAUCCUAUUUCAUUUAAUCCAAUUAUGGAAAACGCGAGACAGUGGCCUUCAUGUUCUUCUGGGCCGCGUGGUGUUAUGCAUUGCAAAACUAAGCAAGAUGCACACUGACGUUGCCUAGACGCGGAGGUACUUGAAUUCUGCGCAACUCAAAGCAGGCCCAUAAGAACAAGCAGCAUACUGGGGAGGUCAGGCCAGGGCUUUCAUUCCUAGAUUUUAUGCAGGUGGCUAAAGAAACUUCUGGCUAGUUUAAUGGUGGUCGUAUACCUAUGAUAUUAUUUGAUCUGGCCCUGGUUGGGAAACUUUUAUAAUACUGGGAAGGUCAAGAGUUGAUUUGCUGUCUGUGUUCAUCUGAAUUCAGAAAGUGUGGGAUUCCUAUUUGUAGGAUGGCCUGUAUGUCCAGGGUAUUUUUGCUCUGUGAGGUCUGGGCAUCAAGUAAUGAGAUUCAUGGAAUGAUUCUAAGGAUGCCUGCCCCUUCUUGAUCCACUCACUAACUCACCUUCUCUCAGCCUGCUUUAUUUUCUAAAGGUUUGGAUUUUCACAGGAAAAUGUAAGCUUCAAUUAAAUUAAUAGGAUUUUCUGAAGUUGGGAGAAAGUUUAUCAUGAUCGACAUAGUAAUGAAAUACCCAAAUAAACAGAAUGGGCGUACGGGGUUAGGAAGUAAUAGAGCUGUAAAUCCAUAUAUACUGUGGGUGGGCUCUGGAGUUCCGUCCUGUUGGCUAUUCUUAGGGAGAAGGGCUUUCUCUUUUAACAAGUGUAUUCAUGACCCUCAUUGUGACUAUUCUGAGAUGUAAUCCACUUCUAUGGACCCGAAUUCAUUAUAUUUUAAUAAGUGAGAGUCGUAAAAUGUAGAAAUAGAUAAACAAGGGAAGAUCGAAACACCUUGGCUGUAUAGACUGUAAACUCUUGUGAUAAUCUGAUAAACAAGGGUAAAGACGACGUAAUACCACUGCUUUGGGCAAAUGCUUCUUCCUCUUUAUGCCCGGAUCACUCAUGCGUUCUGGACCAGAUUACUUCAAGAGUAAUUUCCUUUGGUCCUGUGCCCGACAGAGAUGAUUUCAUGUCACUCUUAGCAGGAUGCCAUAAUUCAGAAAAUCACAACUUUGAUCUAAGACCCUACCUGUCACUGUCAAGCAUUGCCAGUAGCGAGUGAUGGAGAUACUGUUUCACACUUCUGCUGAAAGCCUAGGGACCCUUGGCUUGCCGAAAGAAAGGAAUUUCAGGAUCACUUAGUGUGAAGCAGAGUUGGACUUUAUUAAAAGACUAUUUUUUUUUUUGUCACGGAUUCUAAGCACAGGAACUCGUGGAGAGAUGCUCAAGGAAAGAUUAAGACAUACCCACGUGCAGUGAGGAGCCCCUCAAGGGAGUGCCCUGACUGUCUUUACAGUAGCCAUAUGCACUGUGUUUGUUGGCUUCUGAAGUUACAUCUUAAAUGGUUGCUAAGCAACUCUUUAUUUUUCUGUAAAUGAGAUCAUAGGGUGGUUCCUGGUGUACCUUGAAUGGAAUUACGGUUGAUAAAGUAAAACCCUGGGUCACAAAGGUUGUUAAGAUGAUUUUAGUAUAAAUAGAAGCUUAGACUUAUAUCUUAUAUUCCCUGAUACUAUUAAGGAAUGAUGUUAGGCCCUGUUUGAAGGUAAUAUGUAAGUAAAAAUGAGGCCACCACCGCCCCUAGGUAUGCUUGAGGAGAAAGUUUUAUUGUAGAUAUGAGGGAGAGAAGAGACACAGCCUCUGGAAGGGUUCAGACUGUACCCAGCUAUGAGAGGAGAGAGGUGGGGGGAGGAGGAGAGGGAAGGGGAGGGAAAGGAGACUAAAACAAAGUGGAGAGAGGGGGGUAUGGGAACCAAGAGACCAAUAGAAUUCAAGUUAUAUAGGGAUCAAAGGUUGAGAGGAAGGGAAGCCCAGCCCCUGGGUUCAGAGGUUUAGGGUAGGGUGGUUUAGGAUAAAGUAUAGGAUGAGAAGCGCUAGCUGGAGCCAAGGUACCAAGUGAAACUUUUGCUGGGUUUCUUUGAGAUCUAACAAUAUAUGCUCAGGCCUUGACCACAGUUCAUUACUCUUUUAAUAUUCUUCUGUAUAUAGAAGGGAUAUUGUCUCUAUGUCAGUAACUUUCAUAGCUAAUGUUAGUUGUGAUCAUUCCAUUAAAAAAAAUUGAUUCUAUGUGUAGGGGUUUGUAUGUGGGAGCGUGCACAUGAGUACAGGUACCUAUCAUGUGCCCAUGUGCCCAUUCAGGCCAGAGGUACAUGAUCCCACAAUGUGCUUGAGUUAAGGGUGGUUGUGAGCAGGUCAGAAUGGGUGCUGAGAACCAAACUCAGGUUCUCCGAAAGAUCUGCAAAUAUCUUAAAACUCUGAGCCCUUACGUAGCCCCUGGUAUGGCAGUUCGAUUCUCUGUUGUAUAGUGGCUUCUUGUAGACCUCUUCCCAUCCUGUAGUCCCUAGUUUUUCUUUCCUAUCCUCCCUCACUUGUAUUGAAGGACCCUAGGGGCUUUUGACAGCCUUACACCCACUGCCUAAGGUCAAGGCUAGGCUAAGUUCCAUUCUCCACCCACAAUUCUUGGGAGGAGCAGAACAUUCUUGAAAAUCCAAAGAAUGUACUGACAGUCACCUGACCCUCUGGUUCCAUAUAGAGUUCCAAUGCAUGUCAUAUACUUGGUAGCCAAUAGAUGCAAAGGUCAAUAUGCUUAGCCAAUAAGUUUACCUUGUAACCUUGCUGAUGUAACCUGUAGACCUAAAAAGUAUAAAAAUUGCUUGCUAUAGUCAUUCUGGGUUCUAAACACUCGCCACAAGGGGCUGAUUGAGGGUCGACCCCCGAUGCACCGGAAAAAUAAACUUCUUAAAUUUGCAUGGAACUCCGUUCUCGUGUCUCACUUGAGGGGGUCUCCCGGUGGUAAGACUUACUUCAGGCCUUACAGUAUACGUUGAAUCAAGCGGUACUGUCAGACCUGUGGAGAGACUUAUUGUUUGUGGACUAUUCCUUUACAAAGAAAUAGUUAAUGAGUGGUCUUUCCAAAUUGGCUUCUUUCACAGGUGAAAAUGUUCAGGGUUUAACUGUACAGCUUGUAUCCACACUUCUAAUUAUCCUCAUGAUCAAAUACAAUUCCUUCGUGUAGACUUUCCAGAGUUCAUCUACCACUAGUGACAAGCAUUUAGACAGAGCUUUUUGGCUUAGGCGGUUGUGAGCAAUGCCUUGAGACUAAUGGUCGAACCAUUUUCAACUUUUCGAGGGCGUAUGCCCAGCAGUGGAACUCCUGGUUGUUUGGUGACUUAAUAGCCAUUGACACAUGUUAUCCAAAAUGAUCUUGUUGUUACUGAAGUCCUAGACCAGAGGACAGACUCAGGGGCAUCCCAUCAAAGUAAUUUCAGGGAAACUCCUCUCCAAAACUGAACAGAAAAUGUCAUGAAUAAAAGCACGAGGUUUUAAUUUUUGGUUCAUGUGUCAAAUCUAAAACCCAGUGGCUAGACAGAAGUGGGGGGGGGGGUGGCACAAGAUUUCUUUGGGUAUAGAAAACUCCUAACAAGAAGAUUUAAUAAAGUGUCUCACCUCUGCUGUGUUUUGGCUGAAAGUGUAUCCGGAAAGGAAGCAAGAAUAGAACUAAUUGCUCAUCAGGCGAGGAGGAACAAAUAUAAGUAGUUUGGAUACGCAUUUAAAUUAGAUUACAUUUGCUGAGAGGUUUUCUAAGUGGAGUUAAUUUGAAAGGACACACAAGUCAUUGGGUUUAAUCUGUACCUUCUGAGUAGCUGCAAUCCCUCUGCCUCCUGUUUCUGGUAAAUAAAAGUCACUCUUCAGGAGAACAUUUUACCUCCUUGUUCACAGUCUGAUCUGUGGUGGUGGCUGUGAGGUGAGUUGACAAGCGCAUGCUACCCACUCACAAGUAAGAGAAGAAACAUUGUAUGUAAGGACCCUUUUCCCCCUUGUGAUAACUUAGCCCAGGCUGUCCUAGAUCUGUGUAGCAGAGGAUGACCUUGAGUUUCUUAUACUCCUGCUUUCAUUUCUCAAGAGCUUGGCUUAUGUACCCUUUGUAGUCAAACCCAGGACGUCAUGUGUAUUGGGAAACUUUACCAACUGAGGUGUAUCUCUAGUCUGAAUAAUUUUUUUUAAUAGAUCAGAAAACAUGGGCAUUUGUACUACAAAGAAUGGAAACUUCAAAAUGUGUACAUUUUUCUCUUGCUUUCAGAAAAGUUUUAAACAUUUCUGUUGGUUCCUCUGAAUUCGUCAAAUUAUAUUUUGAUCACUUUCAAUAUUAAAAUUUAUGAGGUCUUUUGCUGCAGCUUCCUGCUGAAUACAUUACGGGAAUAAGUCUGGAUGACCUGUCAAUACUGGGAUGUGAGACUGGUUAGGAAGGAAUCAGGUUUGUUGAAGGCGCAGACUGUUAGAAGGUAGGGCUGAACCUUAGAGCUUGGUCAGGGGCACAGGGGGCUUACACUUAGAGAGGGAAAGAAAGCGUAACAUUUGAGUACGUGCUGUACAGUGUCUGUCAUCCAGGUCUGUGUCUCUUACCUGACUGGAACACAGGACUGAACUGUAAUUUUCAGAAGCUGGUUCUUGCUUUAAAAAUUCAUUUUAUUGAGACAGGUUGUUAUAUAUCCCACACUAGUCAGGAAUUCCUUAGAUGGCCAGGAAUGAUUCUUGCUGCUUCUCCCGGGUCUGGGUUACAAGUGUACACCUAGGGCUCCUUAGAUUGUUUUUCUGUGAACAUAGCUUUACAGUAAUGUACAGAAUUAACACUAUAGGAGGGCUUAUCCAGAGGUCAUCAUGUGUCCAGGGUUCUGGAAAUUUGAGCAGAAUUUUUUUUUUUGAUUGUCUAUUUAUUCAUUUGUUUUGGGAUGGGAUCUGCUAGUGUCAGAUUAGCAAUCUUCUUGCCUCAGCCUCUAGAGUGUUGGGAUUUUUAAGGAAAGACUCUUCAGCCAUUUUAGAUGGGGCUUCUCUUAAGAAUUUAGAAUGUUGGCUAAAGGGAGGGAGAGAAGAACAAGAGAAGGAAAGGAAAGGACUGCUGCAAAGCAGUGACCUGUGACAUAGAUGGGUGAUGCCAAAACAGUGGAGUCAGGGGAAAACUGGGUGAUUUAACAAACUCCUCCAAAAAUCAUUCCCAGUGGAUUGUGUGAAAAGAAGAUGGAAAUAAGGAGUCAAGUAAGCACACUGUUUUAAGCAUUUGUGGAAAAUUAAGGAUUUAGGGAAAAUCUCAUGCUUUCUCUACAACUGUCUCGGAGGCCAGCAUUUAGCAUUAGAUUACAAGCAAGCAGCAUUAGGCCAGCCCACUACACUUGUGUGUCCCUGUUUAUAUGCGAUGCCAUGUCUCUUCCCAGGUGCUUUUCCUUUCAGACUUGGCCUUGCCUCAUCACAACUACGCUGUAAACGUAAGGCAAGCAUGCAGACCUGCCUUUUGGUUAUUGAGAGACCGAGAUAGCCUGACCUGUUAGUCUUCAGCGGGUUGCUUCUGGAAUAACUGGGAGGCCGUUUUCCUUUGUGUAUCCUUCAAACUGUUCAUCAGCUCCUCCACUCCUACCAUUAUGAUGAGUCUCCUGAUGAAUUAUGCAGCGGCAGUUGACUUAAGACAGAAAAAAGAAAAAAAUCAAUGGACUUUGACUUAAGCAGUAUUCUCACCCCGAAACAUACUACUUCUUGUGUGCUUCUCAAAAUUUUCCCCUGAAGUUGUUCGGGAAGACUGAUUUAAAUACCAGUGUGAAAGCUUAUGUAAUUCUGCUGCUUGAAGAAUACAUGAUUUAUUAAGCUGUGGAAUAGACGAAUAGUUUUAAAGAAAAAAAAAUUAGCUUCAAAGGGAUCAAAAAAAAUGCCAGUCCCCACCACAUUUCUUUAGGGGUGUCAGUUAAAUCCACUGUAAAAAACUCAGUGGAGUUUGACCAGCAGACUGCUGCGUCCUGUGACUGCCAUUGAAUUUGUUCCACCUUAAGUCAACUCAUGUGUUCCACCUUAAGUCAACUCUUGUGUUCCACCUUAACUCAACUCAUGUGUUCCACCUUAAGUCAACUCAUGUGUUCCACCUUAAGUCAACUCAUGUGUUCCACCUUAACUCAACUCAUGUCUUCCACCUUAACUCAUUCUAAGUCUGCAGGAUUUUUUUUUUCCACAGCAAAUUCUUUCUCUUUGUUUCUUCUAGGGCCUACCAUAGAGCUCUACACCUAGUGGAUGCUCACUACACAUUCUGGAUGAAUAAAUAAAUUAAUGACUGGAAAUUCACUUGCUCAUCAUCUGAUUGUUGUGAAAAAAAGGAACAGAACUGCAGAAUUAAAAAGAAAAAAAAUUAAGCGAUGAUUAUUCUAUGUUGGUUCAUAAAAUUUGGUGCUGGAGAAGUUGGAGGCCAGAGAUCUGACAAACUCUUCUGUCUUCUGGAGUCACAUGCAGUUCUCCAUCCACCUGGACAAAUACCUGUAGACAUAAAAAUAAAAAAAAAAUUAAAAGGAAUCCUCAUGAUCUUACGAUUCUGUCAAGCCAUAGACUGAUCUGGUACUUUUAAAAUAGAAGCAAAUUUAAAAUAGGACAUACCAAUUAUGCCAGUUGUUAUAACUGAAGAAAAUCAAAAUUGUUGUGUGGGAUAUUUGAAGAUGAUGGAUAGUCAGUUUCCAGAUUUCCAUUCCAUCAUCAAUCCUUGGGUAUUUUGCUGGUAGCACUGACAACAAUUUUGUUUCUUGCGGGAAGCAGUAUCAAUUUUUUACUUUUCUUGGGAAAAUAAUGAGUGACUUCUUGACCUUUGGACAAUCUCUCUGAGUAGAGGGAGAACCUCUCUGCUCCUGGUGUGCUGGAGAUGGGGCAUGCUAACCAGAGACCAUCAUGAAGUCAUGGGAUAGGCAGAUGAUUGUUCGAUGAUCUCCUCCAGUUUUUGAGAGCUUUUCCUAUUCAUAACUGAAAAUUUAAGACUGUUCUCUUCCAACUGUAAAA